GAUGAACGCUGGCGGCGUGCCUAAUACAUGCAAGUCGAGCGAACAGACGAGGAGCUUGCUCCUCUGACGUUAGCGGCGGACGGGUGAGUAACACGUGGAUAACCUACCUAUAAGACUGGGAUAACUUCGGGAAACCGGAGCUAAUACCGGAUAAUAUAUUGAACCGCAUGGUUCAAUAGUGAAAGACGGUUUUGCUGUCACUUAUAGAUGGUUCCGCGCCGCAUUAGCUAGUUGGUAAGGUAACGGCUUACCAAGGCAACGAUGCGUAGCCGACCUGAGAGGGUGAUCGGCCACACUGGAGCUUAGACACGGUCCAGACUCCUACGGGAGGCAGCAGUAGGGAAUCUUCCGCAAUGGGCGAAAGCUUGACGGAGCAACGCCGCGUGAGUGAUGAAGGUCUUCGGAUCGUAAAGCUCUGUUAUUAGGGAAGAACAAAUGUGUAAGUAACUAUGCACGUCUUGACGGUACCUAGUCAGAAAGCCACGGCUAACUACGUG
rnacentral:rRNA from 1 species